AACGAACGCUGGCGGCAGGCCUAACACAUGCAAGUCGAGCGAGGACUUCGGUCCUAGCGGCGGACGGGUGAGUAACGCGUGGGAACGUGCCCUUUGCUACGGAAUAGCCCCGGGAAACUGGGAGUAAUACCGUAUGUGCCCUUCGGGGGAAAGAUUUAUCGGCAAAGGAUCGGCCCGCGUUGGAUUAGGUAGUUGGGGGGUAAUGGCCUACCAAGCCGACGAUCCAUAGCUGGUUUGAGAGGAUGAUCAGCCACACUGGGACUGAGACACGGCCCAGACUCCUACGGGAGGCAGCAGUGGGGAAUCUUAGACAAUGGGGGAAACCCUGAUCUAGCCAUGCCGCGUGAGCGAUGAAGGCCUUAGGGUUGUAAAGCUCUUUCAGUGGGGAAGAUAAUGACGGUACCCACAGAAGAAGCCCCGGCUAACUCCGUGCCAGCCGCCGCUGUAAGAC
rnacentral:rRNA from 1 species